UACUUGCAUAUAUAUAUACACAUACCUCUCUUCCUUCUUUCCAACGUAUUCACACAGUUUAGUCAAAAAAAAAAUGUAUUCACACAGCAAACCCAAAAAAUGGCAAUGAUAUGUACACCACAAAGUUAUAUUCUUAUUAACAAGUUUGCGCCAUGCAAGGAUGCUUGGAAAAUACAGGUCAAGUUACUCUUUUUUUUGAGCAAAAAAAAAAUAAAAAAUGGAAUUAAAAAAAAAAUACAGGCCGAGCUACUCCAUUACUGGAAACAAAACAUACAAGUUUUGGAGAUGAAACUAUGGAAUGUGUUUUCGUAGAUGAAACAGGCGCAAAGAUUCAUGCUUCCUCCAAAGUAAUCUCUCUGUUGGAGAAUGGAGAUUCGUCGAAAAAUUUAAGGUUAUCGGACGUCAAUCCCUCGAAGCUAUUUGAAAAUUGAAUUCCCAUGUCCCUAAACGAUUUAAUGGGUGAAGUUAUUGACAUAGAAGGAAUACAAACAUUUCGGUUCACAUAACACAGCGGGUCAAGUUGUUUCAUGUUGCUUGUGGGGAAAGUAAGCAGCACAAGUUUCAUCUCAAUUUGAAGAUACAAAUGAUGAAACGAUAAUAUCUGAUAAUUUUUGCAAAACUCAGCUUCUACGGAGACUUAUGCAGAAUGAUCUUCCUCUUGCUGAUAUUGAGCAAAAGAAUGAUAAAAAGAUGAUCAAAUGAGACUGUUGGGUAUAUAUAACAUUUUAAAUUAUCACUCGAAGUCAACACAGAAGAACAUCAUUAGUUAUAUUAUGAUACAUCGAAAACUAAUUAUGAAAAAUAAAUAUCGAUGUAUGAAAAAACUCUUUCUAUUUCACUUAAUUUAGUCAAACACAUAGAACGAGUUUUUUUAUUAAUUUAUAAAAUCAGUUUGA